rnacentral:rRNA from 1 species
AUACGGAAGGUCCGGGCGUUAUCCGGAUUUAUUGGGUUUAAAGGGAGCGCAGGCGGAGAUGCAAGCGUGACGUCAAAUUUCGGGGCUCAACCCCGUCUCGCGUCGCGAACUGCGUCCCUUGGCUGCGGGAAGGGGAGGCGGAACUCGGGGUGUAGCGGGGAAAUGCAUAGAUAUCACGAAGAACUCCGAUCGCGAAGGCAGCCUUCCGGCCCGUCAACGACGCUCAUGCUCGAAGGUGCGGGUAUCAAACAGGAUUAGAUACCCUGGUAGUCCGCACAGUAAACGAUGGACACCCGCGGUUUGGCCUGUAUGGCUGAGCCGCCAAGCGAAAGCGUUAAGUGUCCCACCUGGGGAGUACGCCGGCAACGGUGAAACUCAAAUGAAUUGACGGGG